GAUGAACGCUGGCGGCGUGCCUAAUACAUGCAAGUCGAGCGAACGGACGAGAAGCUUGCUUCUCUGAUGUUAGCGGCGGACGGGUGAGUAACACGUGGAUAACCUACCUAUAAGACUGGGAUAACUUCGGGAAACCGGAGCUAAUACCGGAUAAUAUUUUGAACCGCAUGGUUCGAAAGUGAAAGACGGUCUUGCUGUCACUUAUAGAUGGAUCCGCGCUGCAUUAGCUAGUUGGUAAGGUAACGGCUUACCAAGGCAACGAUGCAUAGCCGAGCUGAGAGGGUGAUCGGCCACACGGGAACUGAGACACGGUCCAGACUCCUACGGGAGGCAGCAGUAGGGAAUCUUCCGCAAUGGGCGAAAGCCUGACGGAGCAACGCCGCGUGAGUGAUGAAGGUCUUCGGAUCGUAAAACUCUGUUAUUAGGGAAGAACAGAUGUGUAAGUAACUGUGCACAUCUUGACGGUACCUAAUCAGAAAGCCACGGCUAACUACGUG
rnacentral:rRNA from 1 species